rnacentral:rRNA from 1 species
GAUGAACGCUAGCGGCAGGCUUAAUACAUGCAAGUCGAGGGGUAGCAAGAUUGCAGCAAUACAAUUGUUGACGACCGGCAAACGGGUGCGGAACACGUACACAACCUUCCUACAAGUGGGGAAUAGCCCAGAGAAAUUUGGAUUAAUACCCCGUAACAUAGCGAUGUGGCAUCACAUUGCUAUUAUAGCUUCGGCGCUUGUUGAUGGGUGUGCGGCUGAUUAGAUAGUUGGCGGGGUAACGGCCCACCAAGUCUACGAUCAGUAGCUGAUGUGGGAGCAUGAUCAGCCACACGGGCACUGAGACACGGGCCCGACUCCUACGGGAGGCAGCAGUAAGGAAUAUUGGACAAUGGACGCAAGUCUGAUCCAGCCAUGCCGCGUGAAGGAUUAAGGUCCUCUGGAUUGUAAACUUCUUUUAUAAGGGACGAAAAAAGGUCUUUCUAGAUCGUCUGACGGUACCUUAUGAAUAAGCACCGGCUAACUCCGUGCCAGCAGCCGCCGUAAAAC